rnacentral:lncRNA from 1 species
GGUCUCGGAGAGGCAUGUCAGUGCCAUUUCCUAAACCUGGCAUUGAUGCUAUCUCCUCAUCAGUGCCCAAAUAAUAGUGUCGGUUCUUAUGACCUUCUUUUAAGUCGCAUAGAUGACAUGCUCUAUAGUAGUGCAUGCUGAAAAAACAAACUAAAAACAACCACCCAACAUUACCUGUACAAUCACCCCUAAUCCAUGUUCUA